UUAGGUUGACGUGCUUCAAGCACUGUUGGGUUUUAGUUGAUAGUUGAUUUAUUGCAACAAAAAAGAUGAAGAAUUAUGUACCUGAAUUGAGGUGAUGGUACAAUCUGGAGGUGCGAAACAGCAGAGGUUCCAAAGUUUUCCGUAUUUCCAAUUUGUUGUGCUUUCUGCGGUCAAAAAACCUUUUGGCUGCAUGCCUGCCAACUUGUCUCUGGAGUGACUGCUUUAAUUGCCUUCACGAGGUCAGGUGCUGCAGUCACCUGACGAAGUGGGCCGUGGCCAACGCAAUUUCGCACUUCCAGGUUGUUCAACAGUACACAAAGCAAAUCCAAAUACCAACAAAAUAUUAUUUAAUUAAAUUAUGAUAAAUGCAAAACACUUAUCCUAAUAUUUCAUAACUAUAAAUAAUAACAAUAAACAAAACCCAUUCUGGCUCCAACAGUAGUGAAGAUAAGAGGGUAAAUGAUGGAUACCCAUGAGGAUGUUAAUUCUCACAAACACCUUCACCUCCUCCACAAAUGUAUUGCACAAGGAUACAUUUGAAGAGGCAUAGAGGUUGGUGUUUUCCACCAAAUUAGCAAAAAUGUUGGUUAUCUGUAUGGUUUAGUAGUGAUAAUAUUUUAAUAUUUAUUUUAAUAUUUAUUUAUUUACAAAAUAUAUAACAAAUACUAAUUAAAUACAUUAAGAAGAUAUUAAAUCUAAUAAAUACGUCUGCAGUACGGUUCAAAAUGUAUGAAUUUGAACUUUAGGGUGUAUGUAAAGCUAUGUAUUUUAAUAUUUGUAGAUGUCACUAAUACAUAUUUGAUAUCAUAUUAACAAACAAUUUAUGCCCUUUCAAAAAAAAAAAAAACUUGUAAUUGUAAUUUUUCUUUUGUUUUCUAACUGUAACUGUUUGUUUACAGGAUAACAGAAAAUAAAGGAAUUCUCUGUUUUUCGCAGUAAUUUGCUGCAGUGUUCUAGAAUUCUAUCUCAACCAAGGGAGUGUCCACCCUGUUUGACAGUGAGGGUAUUUCCAAGUGAUGUCACAAGGUGAAUGUACGCCAUUUGAAGCCAUAUGUCCAGCUUCCAUUGGGAUGCUGCACAAUACAGUACAUUCCUGAAUAUCAGAAGUAAUGUCCACAUCCUCAGCCUUGUCUGGUCGCUGAAGAUGGUGAAUGGAGGUAUUUGUUUAGCAUGGCACUUUGGCACUAUUUACUGUCAUGUGGAGUUGAAAGUAAUUGUACAUGUGGUGCUUUAUGUGCUUUAUGUUCCUAUUUGGGAAUUUCCCUAAGGGAUUAAUGAAGUAUCCAUCUAUCUAUCUAUCUAUCUUUCCUAAAAGCUGAGGUUGUUACGCCUGAUCACACAUGCAGCAAGACGGCAGACACAGCUUUGGAGGACAAGAUUCCAGUAAAAUUAGCUGCUAAGGGAUUGCUGCCGACCACAGACAGUGUUCCACUGAUAUAAGCGAUGGAGAGUUUUGCACGUCUGACGGUAAUCCGCUACAACGUUGCCACUGUAAGUAGUUUUUAUUUCACCUCGCUGAGGAAUUGCAUUUACGACUGCUAUUUCGCGUUCUGAAAUUCUUCUGAAGUUCAGAACAAACCCCAGAUGAGAACUUUCAUGAAUGCCAAAUUUGUUCUUAAAACACAGAAGAAAUUCCUUCUUAAAUUCUUCAUAACUGCGUUUGAGAAUGAGGCCCAAUAUCACGUUAUAAGUGAGUUUUCUUAGCAACCGGGAGUGGGCUGCAAGUUUGUCCCGACGCACCACCCUUACCUGAACAAUUUUUAAAACCAUGCAUGGAGGUUAACCUGCCUUUUCGUCACCACUUGGGGUAAGUGCAACUGGUUAUGCGACUUAAUAAUGCAAAUGAAAUGUAAAUACAUGUUUGGAGAGUUGUUGAUAUUUUGAGACGCUUUGUGCAAUUUUGUAGACGACUGUGAAACAGGAUAAAAUAAUGUUUGCUAACCUAGCUAAGAUGGUGUAACUCCAGGUGGAAUUGGUAUUGAUUUCUAGAAGUUCUAGCAUCCUUGACUAAAGCUAAAGAUCUAACAGUAAGCCAUUUGAGUUACGUUAAAUGUCGAUGAUGAAGAAUGUGUGAGGAGAUAAGAAAUAGGACCAGCAAAUGAUUUCAGCAUUGUAUCCUCAUAUACAGUGAGUUGUGCAUCGUCUGUGAUGUGUGUGUGAUGUGUGUGUGUGUGUGUGUGUGGGGUAACUUUAGCCUAAUGACGUUAUAUUAGCACUGCAUGGGAGCAAUUGUGCUAAAAAAGGUGAGCUAUAAGGACACUGGCGUUUGCUAGCCUCACAAAGAUUGAAACGGUUGUCAUAUUUAGAAUGUGCUUCAUUUGGUUAAUUAUAGGAAUU